AGUGAGAAGCAAGCUGCAUUUAGUUUCGACCUAAAAGAUUGGUGUUCACUCACCCUCACUU
rnacentral:tRNA from 1 species